GGACUAUUUUAAUACAAGGCUCUGCAUUACUCGAAUUGACCCAGCUGUAUUGUUCCUGCAACAGCACAGAGAGAGCCACAACCUUGAUAAGCUUACUUCCAACUAUUGGUCACUGGCCACACAGCCAAGAGCAGCUCUGGUACAACAUGGUAGUGCUACUAAGUAUCAGUCUAACAGCAAAGUAAUGGAACAGUCUAACAG